UUGCCAGCCCUACCCAUAUCUAUCCAAGAAAAUGGGAGCAAGCCCAAGAAAUUUUUUUCUUCCUUCCUUCUCCCUUCCACCACUCGGCCGAAUAUUCCAGGAGGCUCUCCACCUCCAACUCUCUUCACCUUCCAUCUUCCAUACUCCUUAUCUUCCAUCUUCCACAUUCAAUUCUAAAAUCAAAAGUCACACAAGUUAAUACAUCAAGAUCCUUCAUUUAUCUCCUCUCCUACCCUUUUCACUUCAACAUUUUCAAGCAAAAAUCAGUGAGAGAGAGUGAGAGCCGAGAGAGAAACGAGAGAGUAAAGGAAUUUGCUGCCUUUGUGCUUCAAUCAUCCCAAGUCAUAGAUUCAAACCGCCAAAUUCAAGAAGCCAUUCCUUUCGGCUCUAUCAAGUUCACAAUCAAACGAAGGUGGUUCGCAAGCUCGUUAAAGUCGGAUCGAGAAGUUAUAAAAGGAAAUUUCUAAGCUAUCGAGGUUGAGCGAGGUCGGGAGGCGGAGGAUGUUGAGCGAUGAUUCAAGAAACAUAUUCAAAAAAUUUUCCGGGUACUAUUGUGUCUUCAUACAUAGUAGUAGCUAAACUCUCAUCUGCUUCCGCUACUCUACGUUUUUUUAGAAUCUUUUUACUUUCCUUUGAGUUGUCAAACUAUGUCACUUACGUUAUGUAUUUUCGGGAUUUGAACGUUGUUUGAUUAAUGAAAUUUCAUCUUUUGAUCGAUA